AUCUUUACAUUUUUACUUUCAAAUCCACCUUCAAUUAAUUUUUCAUUUUAAUAUUCGUGUAAAUAUUUUUAUUGUAAUUCAUUUCUUCUUAAAUAUAAGCUACACCUUGAUCUGAAAUAUUUUCAUUUUUAAAGUUAAGAAAAUUAUUAUUCUUUUAAAAUAUUCUGAUAACGACGGUAUAUAAACUGUAAACAAAUUUAAGUAAGGUCCAACGGGGAUUAUCAAUUAUAGAACAAAUUCCUCUGAAUUGACUAAAAUACCGCCAAAUUUUUUAAGUUUCAAGACUAUAACUAUUAC
rnacentral:rRNA from 1 species